rnacentral:rRNA from 1 species
UGGGGAAUAUUGCACAAUGGGCGCAAGCCUGAUGCAGCAACGCCGCGUGAACGAUGAAGGUCUUCGGAUCGUAAAGUUCUGUUGCAGGGGAAGAUAAUGACGGUACCCUGUGAGGAAGCCCCGGCUAACUACGUGCCAGCAGCCGCGGUAAUACGUAGGGGGCUAGCGUUAUCCGGAUUUACUGGGCGUAAAGGGUGCGUAGGUGGUCUUUCAAGUCGGUGGUUAAAAGCUACGGCUCAACCGUAGUUAGCCUCCGAAACUGGAAGAGUUGAGUGCGGGGGAGGAAAGUGGAGUUCCCAGUGUAGCGGUGAAAUGCGUAGAUAUUGGGAAGAGAACCAGUAGCGAAGGCGGCUUUCUGGACUGCAACUGACACUGAGGCACGAAAGCGUGGGUAGCGAACAGG